CACGCUGUAAACGAUGAGUGCUAGGUGUCGGGGGGGAACCCUCGGUGCCGCAGCUAACGCAAUAAGCACUCCACCUGGGGAGUACGAUCGCAAGAUUGAAACUCAAAGGAAUUGACGGGGGCCCGCACAAGCGGUGGAGUAUGUGGUUUAAUUCGAAGCAACGCGAAAAACCUUACCAAGGCUUGACAUCCCUUCGACGAGUACAGAGAUGUGCUUUCCCUUCGGGGCGGAGGUGACAGGUGG
rnacentral:rRNA from 1 species